rnacentral:rRNA from 1 species
GACGAACGCUGGCGGCGUGCCUAACACAUGCAAGUUGAGCGACGAACCAGGGCUUGCCCUGGGGCAAAGCAGCGAACGGGUGAGUAACACGUGGAUAACGUACCCCGAUAACCGGGACAACCCGAGGAAACUCGAGCUAAUACCGGAUGUGCCCAUCACACACCAGUGUGAUGUGUAAAGGAAGCUUCGGCCUCCGUAUUGGGAGCGGUCCGCGGCCCAUUAGCUAGUUGGUGAGGUAACGGCUCACCAAGGCAACGAUGGGUAGCUGGUCUGAGAGGACGAUCAGCCACACUGGGACUGAGACACGGCCCAGACUCCUACGGGAGGCAGCAGUGGGGAAUCUUGCGCAAUGCGCGAAAGCGUGACGCAGCAACGCCGCGUGGGGGAAGAA